rnacentral:rRNA from 1 species
AGUGAACGCUGGCGGUAGACCUAACACAUGCAAGUCGAACGGCAGCACAGUAAGAGCUUGCUCUUACGGGUGGCGAGUGGCGGACGGGUGAGGAAUACAUCGGAAUCUACUUUUUCGUGGGGGAUAACGUAGGGAAACUUGCGCUAAUACCGCAUACGACCUACGGGUGAAAGCAGGGGAUCUUCGGACCUUGCGCGAUUGAAUGAGCCGAUGUCGGAUUAGCUAGUUGGCGGGGUAAAGGCCCACCAAGGCGACGAUCCGUAGCUGGUCUGAGAGGAUGAUCAGCCACACUGGAACUGAGACACGGUCCAGACUCCUACGGGAGGCAGCAGUGGGGAAUAUUGGACAAUGGGCGCAAGCCUGAUCCAGCCAUACCGCGUGGGUGAAGAAGGCCUUCGGGUUGUAAAGCCCUUUUGUUGGGAAAGAAAAGCAGCAGGUUAAUACCCCGCUGUUCUGACGGUACCCAAAGAAUAAGCACCGGCUAACUUCGUG